rnacentral:lncRNA from 1 species
UGGGGGCAUUGCCGUAGCAAUCUCAGCCAUGAGGUGGGAGAAUGGCUUGAGAGUAUCCGGAUCGAUUCCCAUUCCUGCAAGCUUCUUUUUCAGCUUGGUGUUCCAGUAGUUCUUGACCUCAUUUCCGUGCGACCCGGCAACUGAGCUGCAAUUAUCGACCACCCGUAGCAAAACCCAACUGGGAUUUUAAUUCAUGGGAGGUAAUAAACAACCACUUGGUACUCAUGGAAGAACAGAACGGCGGUCAUGUAGAGGAGUUGAGAACAAGCUUCUGCAGAAGAAUAUGACGCGGAAGAAUGGAUUGAUUGAUUGAUUGAUUUACCGGUAACCAAGGACAGCAUGGAGCCUCAUGAUGGUUUGCUCCUCUGAUUCUGAGAAUUCACCGUGCUUUAAGUCUGGUCGGAGGUAGGUAGUCCAUCGCAGCCUACAGCUUUUUCCACAUCUAUGCCGGUCUACACAUUGAUUAUUGGUAAUUUAGUUGCUUUUUUUUUUUUUUCCUUUGGCUUAGAGAGAGAGAGAGAGAGAGAGAGAGAGAGAGAACCGGCAAUCUUGGGAAUGAGCCGCCAGUUACAGGUUCCGUGCUAGGUGAUGUAAGAGGCGAGCUUAUUGUCUUCUUCAGGUCCAUUGUCCUAUCCUUCUCACAAGAAGGAAUGUGCCCCGUCUUCUGUAUUUUUGUAUCUUAGGAAAUUCUGUUGCUUUGGUACAGAUAGAUGAAGGAGUCGAUAGUGUUGGAUGAAAAAAGCCAAGGAAGAUGAUUUCUCUACUUGCACUCUUUUCAAGGAAAUUUUUCCCUCUUCUUUGUGUGCUUCUUGGAAAGGAAAUCAAGCAGGACAGUUAUCUAGCCAAUUUUCUAUCAGGUAUGUGAAUGUGACGAUAUGGUGUGUGUUUUUAAAUAAAGGGAGGUGUGUCUUCUUAUAUUAAGGGUUUGCCUUGCAUGUGGCUCUGUUCAAUAUAGCCCGAGUUACCAUCGAAGGCCCAUGAUUUAAUUAAAGAAUUCAAUGCCAUGUUGUGUGUGAGAGAAGGGCAGGUAGCUCACCCACAAGAUGUUUGGUUCAAACCUCUCUCUCUCUCUCUCUCUCUGCGUGUGUAUGUAGUUGACUGUAUCGGGUUUCUGCUAGAGCUGGUGUGUUAACAGUUAAGGUCACACAUAAUUGCCUCAUGGAAGAGCUUGUCUUUUACAAAAGUUGAGGCUGUUGCGCGUGGGUCUUUCUGGCACUCAUUCUACCACUCCUAGUUCUAACGCAUUAGACACCUAAUCAUUUUGUAAAUGCAAGAAUUGCUGGUGCUUGCUGCUUCUUAGCAAUUACUUUGACAUGAACAAUUUGGUCCCAGUUGUCUUUUGAUAUCUUAUGUCCAGGACUAUUAUCAGCCCUCUCUUUUAUGAAGUCUCUUGACAUGAGAGUGUAAGAAUCUUGUUGACCGAGAAGAUGAAGUGCAAAAUAUAAUUCUCAGGCUUCCGUUUGUCACUAAUGUAGUUCUUCGUCGAUCUGCAUAUCUAUUUUCUAUAUAUAUAUAUAUAUUUUAAGGACGCAUUCACAAACUAGAAAGGUGACUGAUUGGCCACACCAUGUUUGGUGCAUGCUAUUGAGUAUUGACACAACAGAGGGUGCAUGUAUAUUUUUUACUUUUUAGCUGUUAAAAAUUGGAGAGAAGCUCCUGUCUUACCUAAACUCAAGCAACCACCACCUUCAAGUGAGACUAAUGAUUCUGUACUUGAGAUCUGAAGGAAGAGUUGAGAUUCUAAGAUGCAAGGAUUAUCUGCAUGAAAUUUGUCCAAACUCAGACUCAACUUAUUUUGGACCUGGUUAAUCGCAACCAUUGAUAGUAUUAAAUGCAGGGGUGGGAUUAUAUCUAUUCAUAGGCCACUUAAGGCCUACUUUCUGCUCAUUUUGUGUUUUUUUCAUUCUGUGUCACUCGAAUCCCUGAAUAAGUGUGCAGCAUGAAUAUUUUGUACAUCAGCAAUUGAAGAACUUAGGUGCUCCCUUUUUCACCUUAACAAACAAGAAUUCUUUCAUCUGAAUUACCCUUUUGUGUUUUACCAUAAGGAAGGAAAAUUACAGUUUCUUAUCUUAGUUUGGCUCUGAUAAGUGCCUCAAAUGAGCCAAUGAAGCAUAAAACUGUCGCAAGAAAGCAGACAAUGCUAAAUAUCUUAAGGAUGACCCAUUUUCUUGUCCAAGCACCGAUUUUCUUUUGCACAAGGUACAUCUCCACGGGAAAAUAUAUCGCCAAGGGCCAAAAGUUCAACGCGCCCAACACUCCUAGAACCGAGUUGAAAUAUGGAAAGAUUAAGGCGAUUCCAGUUGUGGAUAUGACAAAUACUGUGCGGAAGCACAGCCUGAAAAGAUUCAUCCGAAUAGCCGGCACCAAGGGAAGCCUGAAUGUGUAGAAUUUGUUCACAAAUCUGCUAUUUGGGUAUGUGCUGCUGGACCAUCUCUCUGCUGCUGCAUAUAUGGGCUGACUGAACAUCUGUUCGAAGAGACUCAGCAUAAAUGAUGUGACCAUGUUUUCAAAGGCUUAAUCAAAUCAAGAAACUCUUACUGCUAUCUCUGUAAAUUUUUUGCGUGAAAAAGUGCGUAUGACUGUUGUGAUUAUUUCGAUUUGAUUCUUCUCCAGUUUUUUCAGGGUUUCGAGACUCUAAAAUUGACAGUUGUCAGAGUGCAUAACCAAUUGAAGAUUGAAAACAAGUUUAAUAUUGAGAUAAAAACUGAAGGCAGGUAUCGUUCAAUUCCUUUUUUCGAGAAGUCGGGUAUUGGUCAUACAU